rnacentral:rRNA from 1 species
UACGUAGGGGGCAAGCGUUGUCCGGAAUCAUUGGGCGUAAAGAGCGUGUAGGCGGCCCGGUAAGUCCGCUGUGAAAGUCCAGGGCUCAACCCUGGAAUGCCGGUGGAAACUGUCGGGCUAGAGUCCGGAAGAGGCGAGUGGAAUCCUGGUGUAGCGGUGAAAUGCGCAGAUAUCAGGAGGAACACCAAUGGCGAAGGCAGCUCGCUGGGACGGUACUGACGCUGAGACGCGAAAGCGUGGGGAGCAAACAGG